UAGGGAAUCUUCCACAAUGGGCGCAAGCCUGAUGGAGCAACACCGCGUGAGUGAAGAAGGGUUUCGGCUCGUAAAGCUCUGUUGUUAAAGAAGAACACGUAUGAGAGUAACUGUUCAUACGUUGACGGUAUUUAACCAGAAAGUCACGGCUAACUACGUGCCAGCAGCCGCGGUAAUACGUAGGUGGCAAGCGUUAUCCGGAUUUAUUGGGCGUAAAGAGAGUGCAGGCGGUUUUCUAAGUCUGAUGUGAAAGCCUUCGGCUUAACCGGAGAAGUGCAUCGGAAACUAGAUAACUUGAGUGCAGAAGAGGGUAGUGGAACUCCAUGUGUAGCGGUGGAAUGCGUAGAUAUAUGGAAGAACACCAGUGGCGAAGGCGGCUACCUGGUCUGCAACUGACGCUGAGACUCGAAAGCAUGGGUAGCGAACAGGAUUAGAUACCCUGGUAGUCCAUGCCGUAAACGAUGAGUGCUAGGUGUUGGAGGGUUUCCGCCCUUCAGUGCCGGAGCUAACGCAUUAAGCACUCCGCCUGGGGAGUACGACCGCAAGGUUG
rnacentral:rRNA from 1 species